GUCUCACAAUAUUUCACAUAUGAGUACGAUUUGAGUAUCGUUAGCAUGACGCACGCGCCUGUAUCAAAUUUCCAGCGAACAACGGUCUAAAACGCCCUCGACUUCAAGAAAGGGGAAGCUUUGAAGCUUUCGACUUCAAGAAAGACAGGAGUCGUCGUAACUUCUCCACAAAAACGCCCCUGUUCUCAGACGCUCUUGCAGGAUCGUGGAGGUUGUACACUUGAGAAUCAUGAAGACAGCCCUUUGCCUGAUCCUCUGUAUCACAGUUCUGGCAACUCGGGCACAUGGAUAUCAGGGACCUCGCUGCAAGUCCCCGGAGGAUCCGGUGUGCAACGUCUACUGCCAUGACACGUUUCCUGGAGAGACCCUGCAAGGCUACUGCUAUAGGUGGGAAUGCGGGUGCCUUGUCGUUCAACCCCCAUAUCAUGGCAGAAGAUCAAGAUGGUUCUGAAGUCACCCGAAGGAAUCUUUGAAGCGUACGACGCUCAGCAAGUUUUUACGUGAAUUAAAGCUGCAUGGAAGGCCUU